UACGUAGGGACCGAGCGUUUGUCCGGAAUCAUUGGGCGUAAAGAGCGUGUAGGCGGCUUGCUAAGUCUUGCGUGAAAUCUCGGGGCUCAACCCCGAGCGGUCGUGGGAAACUGGCAGGCUAGAGUGCGGGAGAGGAGAAUGGAAUUCCUGGUGUAGCGGUGAAAUGCGCAGAUAUCAGGAAGAACACCCGUGGCGAAGGCGGUUCUCUGGAACGCAACUGACGCUGAGACGCGAAAGCGUGGGGGAGCAAACAGG
rnacentral:rRNA from 1 species